AUGGCUCUGGUGAAGCUGUACGGCAUGACCAUGUCGUGGAACGUGACGAGGUGCGUGGCGGCCCUGGAGGAGGCCGGCGUCGAGUACGACGUCGUGCCCAUCGACUUCGGCGCCGGCGAGCACAAGACCCCCGACCACCUCGCCAGGAACCCCUUUGGUCAGAUGCCAGUUCUGCAGGAUGGUGACUUCUACGUCUGGGAAUCGCAUGCUAUUUGCAAGUACACAUGCCGCAAGAACAAACCGGAGCUGUUGAAGGAGGGCAACCUCAAGGAAUCAGCAAUGGUAGAUGUGUGGCUCGAGGUGGAGGCCCAUCAGUACACGGCCACACUGGAGCCCAUUAUCCUUGAGUGCCUCGUCCGUCCUAUGUUCGGGCGAGCCACUGACCAGAAAACUGUCGAGGAUAACCUUGUGAAACUGAAGAAGGUGCUGGAGGUGUACGAGGCGCGCCUGACCAAGUGCAAGUACCUGGCUGGAGACUUCCUCAGCCUCGCGGACCUUAACCAUGUGUCUGCUACCGCAUGCCUGGCGGCUACACCCUACGCUUCUUUGUUCGACGCGUAUCCGCAUGUGAAAGCUUGGUGGUCUGGUCUGAUGGCGAGGCCAUCCGUCCAGAUGAUCGCUGCACUGAAGAAGCCGUAUUUUCAUAAUAGUGUCUAG
rnacentral:rRNA from 1 species